CCCUUAGAUGUUCUGGGCUGCACGCGCGCUACACUGAUGCACUCAACGAGUUUACGACCUUGCCCGAUAGGGUUGGGUAAUCUUUUUAAAAUGCAUCGUGAUGGGGAUAGAUUAUUGCAAUUAUUAAUCUUCAACGAGGAAUUCCUAGUAAGCGCGAGUCAUCAGCUCGUGCUGAUUACGUCCCUGCUCUUUGUACACACCGCCCGUCGCUCCUACCGAUUGAGUGCUCAGGUGAAUAAUUCGGACUGCAGCAAUGUUUGGAUCCCGAACGUUGCAGCGGAAAGUUUAGUGAACCUUAUCACUUAGAGGAAGGAGAAGUCGUAACA
rnacentral:rRNA from 1 species